rnacentral:rRNA from 1 species
GACGAACCGUGCGAACGUUGUUCGGAUUCACUGGGCUUAAAGGGCGCGUAGGCGGGCUUGAAAGUCAGGGGUGAAAUCCUCCAGCUUAACUGGAGAACAGCCUUUGAUACUGCGAGUCUGGAGGAAGGUAGGGGCAUGUGGAACUUCCGGUGGAGCGGUGAAAUGCGUAGAUAUCGGAAGGAACGCCGGUGGCGAAAGCGACGUGCUGGACCUUUUCUGACGCUGUGGCGCGAAAGCCAGGGGAGCAAACGGG